AUUGGGUAUUAUUUGGAUUUUUACGAUUCCGAUGCCGAACCAGUACUUUUAAAACGAUAACGAUUCCUAAACCGAUUCUUGAAAAACUUAAAUAUAUAAUAAACUAUGUAAUAUGUUUACU